CUACGGGUCGCUGCAGUGGGGAAUAUUGGACAAUGGGGGAAACCCUGAUCCAGCAAUGCCGCGUGUGUGAAGAAGGCCUGCGGGUUGUAAAGCACUUUCGGUUGGGAGGACUGCUUCUAGCACUAAUAUUGUUGGAAGUUGACGUUACCUCCAGAAGAAGCACCGGCUAACUCCGUGCCAGCAGCCGCGGUGAUACGGAGGGUGCAAGCGUUAAUCGGAAUUACUGGGCGUAAAGCGCGCGUAGGCGGCGAGAUCAGUCGGGUGUGAAAGCCCCGGGCUUAACCUGGGAACUGCAUCCGAUACUGUCUAGCUUGAGUACAGGAGAGGAGAGUGGAAUUCCACAUGUAGCGGUGAAAUGCGUAGAUAUGUGGAGGAACACCAAUGGCGAAGGCAGCUCUCUGGCCUGAUACUGACGCUGAGGUGCGAAAGCGUGGGGAGCAAACAGGAUUAGAUACCCCUGUAGUC
rnacentral:rRNA from 1 species